GUGAGGAAUAUUGGUCAAUGGACGGAAGUCUGAACCAGCCAUGCCGCGUGAAGGAUGAAGGCGUUCUGCGUUGUAAACUUCUUUUAUCAGAGAAGAAACCACUGAUUUCUAUUAGUGUUGACGGUAUCUGAUGAAUAAGCACCGGCUAACUCCGUGCCAGCAGCCGCGGUAAUACGGAGGGUGCAAGCGUUAUCCGGAUUUACUGGGUUUAAAGGGUGUGUAGGCGGGCUAUUAAGUCAGGGGUGAAAUCCCGGAGCUCAACCUCGGAACUGCCUUUGAUACUAUUAGUCUUGAAUUAUGUUGAGGUUGGCGGAAUAUAACAUGUAGCGGUGAAAUGCAUAGAUAUGUUAUAGAACACCGAUUGCGAAGGCAGCUGGCUAAACAUAUAUUGACGCUGAGGCACGAAAGCGUGGGUAGCGAACAGGAUUAGAAACCCUUGUAGUCC
rnacentral:rRNA from 1 species